rnacentral:rRNA from 1 species
GAUGAACGCUGGCGGCGGGCCUAAUACAUGCAAGUCGAGCGAACAGACGAGGAGCUUGCUCCUCUGACGUUAUCGGCGGACGGGUGAGUAACACGUGGAUAACCUACCUAUAAGACUGGGAUAACUUCGGGAAACCGGAGCUAAGACCGGAUAAUAUAUUGAACAGCGUUGUUCAAUAGUUAAAGACGGUUUUGCGGUCGCUUAUAGAUUGAUAAGCGCUGCAUUAGCUAGUUGGUAAGGUAACGGCUUACCAAGGCAAGGAUGCGUAGCCGACCUAAAGGGGUCGUUGGCUAGACUGGAUGUGAGAAACGGCCCAGACUCUUGCGGGAGGAAGCAGUCGGGAAUCUUCCGCAAUGGGCGAAAGCCUGACGGAGCAACGCCGCGUGAGUGAUGAAGUUCUUAGGAUCCUAAAACUAUGUUAUCCGGGAAGAACAAAUGUGUAAGUAACUAUGAACGUCUUGACGGUACCUACUCAGAAAGCCACGGCUAACUCCGUG